rnacentral:rRNA from 1 species
GAUGAACGCUGGCGGCGUGCCUAAUACAUGCCAGUCGAGCGAACAGACGAGGAGCUUGCUCCUCUGACGUUAGCGGCGGACGGGUGAGUAACACGUGGAUAACCUACCUAUAAGACUGGGAUAACUUCGGGAAACCGGAGCUAAUACCGGAUAAUAUAUUGAACCGCAUGGUUCAAUAGUGAAAGACGGUUUUGCUGUCACUUAUAGAUGGAUCCGCGCCGCAUUAGCUAGUUGGUAAGGUAACGGCUUACCAAGGCAACGAUGCGUAGCCGACCUGAGAGGGUGAUCGGCCACACUGGAACUGAGACACGGUCCAGACUCCUACGGGAGGCAGCAGUAGGGAAUCUUCCGCAAUGGGCGAAAGCUUGACGGAGCAACGCCGCGUGAGUGAUGAAGGUCUUCGGAUCGUAAAACUCUGUUAUUAGGGAAGAACAAAUGUGUAAGUAACUAUCCACGUCUUGACGGUACCUAAUCAGAAAGCCACGGCUAACUACGUG